UACGUAGGGUGCAAGCGUUGUCCGGAAUUAUUGGGCGUAAAGAGCUCGUAGGCGGUCUGUCGCGUCGAAUGUGAAAACCCGGGGCUCAACCCCGGGCCUGCAUUCGAUACGGGCAGACUAGAGUUCGGUAGGGGAGUCUGGAAUUCCUGGUGUAGCGGUGAAAUACGCAGAUAUCAGGAGGAACACCGGUGGCGAAGGCGGCCUUCUGGACCAUUCCUGACACUGAGACGCGAAAGCGUGGGUAGCAAACAGG
rnacentral:rRNA from 1 species